rnacentral:rRNA from 1 species
AUUGAACGCUGGCGGCAUGCUUUACACAUGCAAGUCGAACGGCAGCGCGGGCUUCGGCCUGGCGGCGAGUGGCGAACGGGUGAGUAAUACAUCGGAACGUGCCCAGUAGUGGGGGAUAGCUCGGCGAAAGCCGGAUUAAUACCGCAUACGACCUGAGGGUGAAAGCGGGGGAUCUUCGGACCUCGCGCUAUUGGAGCGGCCGAUGGCAGAUUAGCUAGUUGGUGGGGUAAAGGCCUACCAAGGCGACGAUCUGUAGCUGGUCUGAGAGGACGACCAGCCACACUGGGACUGAGACACGGCCCAGACUCCUACGGGAGGCAGCAGUGGGGAAUUUUGGACAAUGGGCGAAAGCCUGAUCCAGAAAUGCCGCGUGUGUGAUGAAGGCCUUCGGGUUGUAAAGCACUUUUGGCGGGAACGAAAAGGAAUGUGCCAAUACCACGGUUCGAUGACGGUACCCGCAGAAUAAGCACCGGCUAACUACGUG